UUGUGGAUGAAAUAGCGUAGCCUUUAUAACGUUUGGCACUUCAGCGGGGUGACUGUGCUUCAUUCAGUAUGUGCUUCUUCACUGUUUUUCCACUGUUCAUGACCUUACGAUAGAUAGGUGGUUGUGGUGUCAUAGCACAUAUGCCACCACAAGGUAAAAAAUGCAUGACAUUGGGAGUAAAGGCACAACAUUGGGGCGACAAUGGUGAGUUAUAUGGGCAUAGAGAGAGACAAAGAAUGUGGCAGGUACAGUGGUG